rnacentral:rRNA from 1 species
AGAGUUUGAUCCUGGCUCAGGAUGAACGCUAGCUACAGGCUUAACACAUGCAAGUCGAGGGGAAACGAUAGAGAAAGCUUGCUUUUUCUAGGCGUCGACCGGCGCACGGGUGAGUAACGCGUAUCCAACCUGCCCAUCACUUGGGGAUAACCUUGCGAAAGUAAGACUAAUACCCAAUGACGUCUCUAGAAGACAUCUGAAGGAGAUUAAAGAUUUAUCGGUGAUGGAUGGGGAUGCGUCUGAUUAGCUUGUUGGCGGGGUAACGGCCCACCAAGGCGACGAUCAGUAGGGGUUCUGAGAGGAAGGUCCCCCACAUUGGAACUGAGACACGGUCCAAACUCCUACGGGAGGCAGCAGUGAGGAAUAUUGGUCAAUGGGCGAGAGCCUGAACCAGCCAAGUAGCGUGCAGGAUGACGGCCCUAUGGGUUGUAAACUGCUUUUAUAAGGGAAUAAAGUGAGUCUCGUGAGACUUUUUGCAUGUACCUUAUGAAUAAGGACCGGCUAAUUCCGUGCCAGCAGCCGCGGUAAUACGGAAGGUCCGGGCGUUAUCCGGAUUUAUUGGGUUUAAAGGGAGCGUAGGCCGGAGAUUAAGCGUGUUGUGAAAUGUAGAUGCUCAACAUCUGCACUGCAGCGCGAACUGGUUUCCUUGAGUACGCACAAAGUGGGCGGAAUUCGUGGUGUAGCGGUGAAAUGCUUAGAUAUCACGAAGAACUCCGAUUGCGAAGGCAGCUCACUGGAGCGCAACUGACGCUGAAGCUCGAAAGUGCGGGUAUCGAACAGGAUUAGAUACCCUGGUAGUCCGCACGGUAAACGAUGGAUGCCCGCUGUUGGUCUGAAUAGGUCAGCGGCCAAGCGAAAGCAUUAAGCAUCCCACCUGGGGAGUACGCCGGCAACGGUG